CUACAGAAACCACUCCACCACCACUCCCUAUUCGAAACACAACAACCUCACUACAACCAACAACAAAACUAAAUGAUCAAGAAAUGCUCUCUCCUUCUUCUAAAGCACUCCAUACACAGUUCAACUUGUCUUUCAAUUUAAUACCACUUUUAUCAAAUCAACUCGUGUGUGGGCUUGAAUUUGAUUUUUCUGAAGGUUGACGAUUGAGUUGGAAGAAAAUCAAAAGAUUUUGAAUUUGUUCAAGUUGAUGUGAAUGUUUUCAACUUAGUUGAGGUGUGUGUAAGCAAGUCAUUUGAUUUACUGUCAAACCAAACGCAUUCCAUCUCUUUCUUAGCAAGAAAUUCAAUGAGAUAAAAAAACAGAGACGUGAAUAAUCUCAAUAGAAUUAUCUCUGUGGUCAUGUCUGAUGUCUCGUCUCUCUGGUUUCGGUAUGGUUUUGUAUUUGUUCUUAAAAAAAUAAACAAAAAUGACUCAAACCGCUAAUAAAAAAUGUUGGAAGGAAUUGUUUGAACUUCUCCAGCAACAUCCCACGCUUUGGAAGAUAAAAAGCAAUGAAUACAAAAAUAAAGUAAAAAAAGCCAAACUUGGGAUGUGUUGCUGGAGAAGUUCAAUGAAAUUGAACCAGAUGGAACUCUCCAACAAUUAAAAAAUAAAAUAAAAAAUUUUAAAACAUCCUACCGCCGGGAGCUGAAGCUUGUAAACAACUCCAUGAAGUCAGGUGCAGGAGAAGACGACGUCCACGUACCCACUUUGUGGUACUUCGACGACUUCGACUUCUUGCGAGACCAGGAGGAGCAUCGGAAAGUAUUUCUACUCUUGAUGACAUGGAUGAAUUUAAGGUUCCAUCCAAGCGAACAAAGAAGAACAGUAGCUGCGAUGAGAAGAAUGAGUUCCUGACAAAGGCAUGUAUGCACCUGGAUUCCCUGAAGGAGAAGGACGAAGCUAGUGAAGAUGAGUCGGAAGUGUAUAUGCGAAGUCGUGGGCUUGUUCUUAUAGGAAAAUAGAUGAACAGCAGAAAAUGUAUGCCAAAAAAGCCAUUGAAGAAAUUUUAAUUCUCGGUCAACUGAAGCAGCUGACAAUUAAUGCAGUGAACACCAACACACCGCAACCAUCAAGAUUUUCCUCGGCACACAUGUGAUUUUUACUUUUCCCAGCUACAAGCUCUUCAAACCCUUCACCAACACCAGUGAAAAUUAUAAAGCUUCCAGCUUAUUUUCAAGUGCCUCCUGAACAAGCGGAAGAAGGCUGUUUCAGCGAACAAGAGUUAUAUGAUUAAAACCACCAGAAAUUUUUCGGAUUCAGUUUUCCAUUCAACCACAGUUUUUGGUACCUAAAAUUAUGUAGAAUUAAAUCAAACAAAAUAAAAAUAAGUUCUCUAAAAAAUAUAA